CCUACGGGUGGCAGCAGUGAGGAAUAUUGGUCAAUGGACGAGAGUCUGAACCAGCCAAGUAGCGUGAAGGAUGACUGCCCUAUGGGUUGUAAACUUCUUUUAUAUGAGAAUAAAAUGUGAUACGUGUGUGUUUUUGUAUGUACCAUAUGAAUAAGGAUCGGCUAACUCCGUGCCAGCAGCCGCGGUAAUACGGAGGAUCCGAGCGUUAUCCGGAUUUAUUGGGUUUAAAGGGAGCGUAGGUGGUUUGUUAAGUCAGUUGUGAAAGUUUGCGGCUCAACUGCAAAAUUGCAGUUGAAACUGGUAGGCUAGAGUGCAGUAGCGGUAGGCGGAAUGUAUGGUGUAGCGGUGAAAUGCUUAGAGAUCAUGAAGAACACCGAUUGCGAAGGCAGCUCACUGGACUGCAUCUGACGUUGAGGCACGAAAGCGUGGGUAUCAAACAGGAUUAGAUACCCCAGUAGUC
rnacentral:rRNA from 1 species